UGUACAUGUAAUACUCUUAUCAUUGUGACUUGUCAUGCAUUUCGUAAACCUAACGAAAGUGAUCUAUGCAUGCAGUAACUUGAGUUCAGUGUCACAGUGCUGCGUCUAAAAAGCCCAAAGCUGAUAAGACUGGCGAUUGAUCCUAAAGCUGAUUUGACAGAUGAUUGCAUCAUCGCAAUAUUAAAGGUUCAAUAUACAGUCAGCGUCUCAUAAGAAUAAAUCCCAAGAUCCAAGACUUGCUUAAAAGCUUAAUUUAGAGACCAUUCUGUGCCACAAAGAAAUUGUUCAGGAAAGGGAGAAAUGGUGGAUUUGCAUUUUGGGUACAGUUCAAACAGAGUUCAAAAAGGUCAAACUCAUGGAAGAUCAGAGGGAGGACAACUGAAGAAAACUGAAAGAUACAGAAGGAAAACGAACAAGAAAAUAUAUGAAAUAAUUAUGAAAUUGGGAGGAUGUACACAAUCUUGUCUGCAUUUGACCUGUAAAGAUUUAAUUCCCAUUCUUAUUUGUAUGCUGUAAUAUCAAAUAACUUGAUUUUUCAUAAAUUUACAAUAGAGAAUACAUGACAAAUGUUAUAUGUGAUAUUUCAAUUUUGCUUUGGACACUUUCAUGUCAAAUCAUAUUUAUAAACAAGUACAUGGACUAAUUAUGUUAUUCAUUUGUACAUGUAUGCAUGUUUAACUAUUUAAUAAUUUUGUGGAAAUCUUAA